UACAGAGGGGGCAAGCGUUGUUCGGAAUUACUGGGCGUAAAGGGCGCGUAGGCGGCCUGUUAAGUCGAACGUGAAAUCCCCGGGCUCAACCCGGGAACUGCGUCCGAUACUGGCAGGCUUGAAUCCGGGAGAGGGAUGCGGAAUUCCAGGUGUAGCGGUGAAAUGCGUAGAUAUCUGGAGGAACACCGGUGGCGAAGGCGGCAUCCUGGACCGGCAUUGACGCCUGAGGCGCGAAAGCCAGGG
rnacentral:rRNA from 1 species